rnacentral:miRNA from 1 species
CUGUGCGCUCUCCUCUUCCCCCACUAGGAGCCGGGCCUGCUGUGGCCACUUCUGAGGCUCCGUGCAGUCUGCGAGGCCAGGAG